rnacentral:rRNA from 1 species
UCAGAAUGCGGCGUGCUAUAAUGCAGUCGAGCGAACAGACGAGGAGCUUGCUCCUCUGACGUUAGCGGCGGACGGGUGAGUAACACGUGGAUAACCUACCUAUAAGACUGGGAUAACUUCGGGAAACCGGAGCUAAUACCGGAUAAUAUAUUGAACCGCAUGGUUCAAUAGUGAAAGACGGUUUUGCUGUCACUUAUAGAUGGAUCCGCGCCGCAUUAGCUAGUUGGUAAGGUAACGGCUUACCAAGGCAACGAUGCGUAGCCGACCUGAGAGGGUGAUCGGCCACACUGGAACUGAGACACGGUCCAGACUCCUACGGGAGGCAGCAGUAGGGAAUCUUCCGCAAUGGGCGAAAGCCUGACGGAGCAACGCCGCGUGAGUGAUGAAGGUCUUCGGAUCGUAAAACUCUGUUAUUAGGGAAGAACAAAUGUGUAAGUAACUAUGCACGUCUUGACGGUACCUAAUCAGAAAGCCACGGCUAACUACGUGCCAGCAGCCGCGGUAAUACGUAGGUGG